rnacentral:rRNA from 1 species
AGAACGAACGCUGGCGGCAGGCUUAACACAUGCAAGUCGAACGCACCGCAAGGUGAGUGGCAGACGGGUGAGUAACGCGUGGGAAUCUACCCAACCCUUCGGAAUAGCUCCGGGAAACUGGAAUUAAUACCGAGUACGCCCUACGGGGGAAAGAUUUAUCGGGGUUGGAUGAGCCCGCGUUGGAUUAGCUAGUUGGUGGGGUAAUGGCCUACCAAGGCGACGAUCCAUAGCUGGUCUGAGAGGAUGAUCAGCCACACUGGGACUGAGACACGGCCCAGACUCCUACGGGAGGCAGCAGUGGGGAAUAUUGGACAAUGGGCGCAAGCCUGAUCCAGCCAUGCCGCGUGAGUGAUGAAGGCCCUAGGGUUGUAAAGCUCUUUCGAGUGGGAAGAUAAUGACGGUACCACAGAAGAACGCCCGCUAACUUCGUGCCAGCAGCCGC